UACAGAGGGUGCAAGCGUUAAUCGGAAUUACUGGGCGUAAAGCGUGCGUAGACGGUUAUGUAAGUCGGGUGUGAAAGCCCCGGGCUCAACCUGGGAAUUGCAUUCGAGACUGCAUAGCUAGGGUGCGGAAGAGGGGAAGCGGAAUUUCCGGUGUAGCGGUGAAAUGCGUAGAUAUCAGGAGGAACACCGGUGGCGAAGGCGGAUCUCUGGGCCAUUACUGACGCUGAGGAGCGAAAGCGUGGGGAGCGAACAGG
rnacentral:rRNA from 1 species